rnacentral:sRNA from 1 species
AGCAAUAGAAAGGCUGAUAUGGGCGGUCGGCUAAUCUCCCGGAAGGGAGGUGAUGCCAUGGAGGUUUAUCAAGCGCUGUCGUUAAUGUUCAUGUUUGGCAUGUUCAUUUUGGCUCUGCUGAGUUACCUCAAAAAGAAAUAGACCGCCCCGGUCAAAGGAUGCGGUCUAUUUCGUGAGGCCUACCUUGUAAGCCGCCGCCCUUAAAAGCGGCUAUUGCUCGGAGAGUCGUGUUACAGCACGGCUC